GACGAACGCUGGCGGCGUGCCUAACACAUGCAAGUCGAACGGUGAACCUGCUUCGGUGGGGGCUCAGGGGUGACCGGGGGAGUAACACGUGGGCAACCUGCCCACAGCUCUGGGACAACUGCAAGAACUUGGGGCUACUACUGGAUAUGACCGCUGACCGCAUGGUCUGGUGGCGGGAAGAUUUAUCGGCUGGGGCUGGGCACGCGGCCUAUCGGCUUGUUGGUGGGGUAGUGGCCUACGAAGGCGACGACGGGUAGCCGGCCUGAGAGGGGGACCGGCCACACUAGGACUGAGACACGACCCAGACUCGUACGGUAGGCAACGGGGGAGAGUAUGAUCCAAGGGGCGAGAGCCUGACGCGACGACGCCGCGUUGGGGAAGACAGCCUGUGGGUAGUAAACCUCAGUCAGCAGAGACGAAGCGAUAGUGACGGUACCUGCAGAAGAAGCACCGGCUAACUACGUG
rnacentral:rRNA from 1 species